GCAUAUCACCUUAUAAGUUAAUUUUGCUCUCCAGCUGGCUAGUAUACUAUUGUGUAGGUUGACCUUUUUUUCUUUUCUUUUCUUUUUUUUUCCAGCUUGCCUCUUGCCACUCAGGAGUACAAAAAAAGGUUUGAGAUCUCUUUUGCAUCAUCUGCUGUCAAACGUUUGUAACUUUCUUUAAAUGUUAAGCUGCAACUCUGUUGCACACCGUGAAUAUAAACAGCUGCAUAAUGAUGGCUUGUUCAUCCAACUGCCUUGACCAGGUAGAGCAUUCACUGGAAUCUUUCCAGCCCUUGGAAAAUGGAAAUUUUUAGUGAUGGAUAAGGGGACACUCCUUGCAUUUUAACCAGUGACUUGAAAGUUAAUGUUUAAGCUGUCUUCAACUUUUCACAUGCUGGUGACAUAGUUGAAAGAAGAUUGAAAUGAAUAUGACCAUGUCAGAUUUUUACUGUAGGAGGGCUUACACUGUGCUGCUCUGAACAAAACACCCACCGGUGCUAAGCCCCAUGCUGCCUGGGCCUAUGUACUUUGGGGUGGGUGGUAAGGCUUCUGCCUAGUUUAGUACAUCCGUUAAUCUGGUUAGUUUUUUAAUGGAAGCUUCAUUUUCAGAACUGAAAUAUUAAAAGGUGAUGACAUAAACCUAAAUUGAAAGUAGAAGCAGUUUUUCCCUUCCUUAUUUUACACAGAAGCAGACCUGAGCUGCUGCAAUCUUGGGGAUGUUCGAUAUUGCGACAAAGGAAGCAAAACAGAGAUGAAGGGGUCCUGUGCAAGGAGGGGCUGUUUUCAGCUUGGAGAGAAACGGAGAUACAAACCAGCUAAUUUGCAAAUCAGAGAGGCUCUUCUGGCUGCAUCAGUAGUCGCAGCCACUUAGGUGUGCAAAGUGCAAUGGAAGAAAGGAAACCUCCUUAGAAACCUGAUGAAAAUUUGUACUAGGUAUGAAAAGUUUGAGAAAUCACCUGGAAGCCCAAGUCCCUUAACACUGUUGUCAAAGCCAUUCGGUGACUUGGACCUUGGUG
rnacentral:lncRNA from 1 species